GAUGAACGCUGGCGGCGUGCUUAACACAUGCAAGUCGAACGAAGCAAUUUAGCGGAAGUUUUCGGAUGGAAGUUGGAUUGACUGAGUGGCGGACGGGUGAGUAACGCGUGGGUAACCUGCCUCACACUGGGGGACAACAGUUAGAAAUGACUGCUAAUACCGCAUAAGCGCACAGGACCGCAUGGUCUAGUGUGAAAAACUCCGGUGGUGUGAGAUGGACCCGCGUUUGAUUAGCUAGUUGGUGGGGUAACGGCCUACCAAGGCGACGAUCAAUAGCCGACCUGAGAGGGUGACCGGCCACAUUGGGACUGAGACACGGCCCAAACUCCUACGGGAGGCAGCAGUGGGGAAUAUUGCACAAUGGGGGAAACCCUGAUGCAGCGACGCCGCGUGAGUGAAGAAGUAUUUCGGUAUGUAAAGCUCUAUCAGCAGGGAAGAAAAUGACGGCACCUGACUAAGAAGCCCCGGCUAACUACGUGCCAGCAGCCGCGGUAAUACGUAGGGGGCAAGCGUUAUCCGGAUUUACUGGGUGUAAAGGGAGCGUAGACGGUAAAGCAAGUCUGAAGUGAAAGCCCGGGGCUCAACCCCGGGACUGCUUUGGAAACUGUUUAACUAGAGUGCUGGAGAGGUAAGCGGAAUUCCUAGUGUAGCGGUGAAAUGCGUAGAUAUUAGGAGGAACACCAGUGGCGAAGGCGGCUUACUGGACAGUAACUGACGUUGAGGCUCGAAAGCGUGGGGAGCAAACAGGAUUAGAUACCCUGGUAGUCCACGCCGUAAACGA
rnacentral:rRNA from 1 species